CUGGCCAUUGAUAAAGUGGGAUGAAAUCAUUUAAGAGAUAAUUAUUAAAUAUUCAUCCUCCCAUAACACAUUUUCCUUUAAGAAUUUUUCACAUUAUGAACUUUAUAGUUUAAGUUACAUGUUUACAAAAUGUUUGCCUCCGUAGUUCAUCAUAUAAGAGCUAGCUAGUGUUAUUGUUAGCUAAUCGUCGUUGUUAUCUUAUUGAUUUUGUCUGAAAUAAUAUCGUGUUUAAAACGUGAAACGUAUGAUAUGUGUUUGAUAUCUUAAACAAUAAAGCUGGUGCCAUGUAACGUUAUAGGAAUAGUAACUCUAAGCAAUAUUUAGCUAACUUUUAAUUAUUUAUUUACGUUAAGUAUUUAAUUUAACGCUAAGUAAAUGGACUGUAUUUGCGCCUUUCUAGUCUUCCGACCACUCAAAGCGCUUCACACUACAUCACAUUCACACACUGAUUGCAGAUGCAAAAGAAACUAACUCAUUCACACACACUUAAGGAACAGCCCUCUGGAGCAAUUUGGGGUUCAGUAUCUUGCCCAAGAUACUGAGCGACAUGUGGGCUGGAGGAAGCCGGGAUCAAACCUCCAACCUUCCGAUUAAUGGAUGACCCGCGCUACGACUAAACCACAGCCGCCCUUAGAGGCCCUGAAAAAGUUCUUGUUUAUGUUUAAGUCCUGUCAGUGUGGGCAGCAGCACAGACCAAGACAGCACAUGCCAAAAUGAGUGUGAUGACAAGGCUGAUGGGUCCUGUGAUGUGUGCUACCUCUGAUUGCCUAUGGUGCUAAGUGUUGUGAAACUCCAUAUGGAAAUGUGUUGUUUUUUUAAGAGCACUAUUUUGGUAUGAGAAGAUGAUGUGAGCAUGGCAGUGUAGUGUAUGGCUCCCCCAAGUGGUCAAACUAUGUUGUGAGCAUCAGAAUGUUGCUAUUAAAGUAAUCAGUAUAGAUAGUAUAGAUUUAUAAAUAAAGUUUAUUCACCACAGCACACUUACUCUUCAUUUAGUGCCCUGCUGAUGUGAAUGCAGAAGAAAGACAAGAUCCCUUUACUGGUUUCUCUUAUUGAAUGUGUUUGUAUAGCAUGUACCACUAUUUACUGUGAGCACAAAUGUCAUUUUGUGUAUCACAAUAACUUCUUUAAUCAUUUUUGUGAUGUGUGGUGUCACCCUACUAAAAGGGGAAUAUGACAAAGUUAGAUUAAACUAUAUUUCCAUUUGAGCAUUAACAUCUGAGGGUUGUCUUAAUAUAUAUUUGUUAAUGAUAGUACUAAGUACCUCCUCAAAACUCACCUAUUCAUUCAUGAAUCUAUGGUCUUUUAUGUUAUCCCUUUUUGUGUAAAGCGUCCUUGGGUCCCUUGAAAGGUGCUAUAUAAAUCUAAGUUAUUAUUAUUAUUAAGGAUCAAGGAAAUUAUUUUCACGUAAUAUUUUAUGUACUCUUCAGCAGAGCGGCGCCUAAAACUUCUGCCAAGCCAUUUUAGGGAAACUGGUUGCAACAAUAUACAGUAGAUGCAGCCUGACAGUUCCAUCAUAAACCACAGACGUCAUGUUUGACUUUCAUUUUAGAAAUAUAUCAAAUAAUUCAAGACACUGCCAGUACAGAAAGGACAGAGUCUUCCAGCAGAGGCAUACAUACACCAUAAUACAUCAAUUCUGAAAUCAGAAAAAAAACACAUUGGUCACCAGCUGCAAUACGUAUCGUCUAUGUAUGUAGAUCUUUAAGAUUUUCUUUGUAUAUGAUUACAAGUACGAACGCAGUCCCUCUCUACCAGAAAUUAUGCAGUCGAGAUUCACAGGAGUCUACAGUAUGGCUCACCCCCAUUCAAAGCAAAUGUUGCAGAGACUGUUAUCAUCUGUAUGUAUUCCAUGUGUGUAUGAUAUUGGCCAUUUGAGAUUUAAAUACAUGACAUAAAUUAUGUAGCAUUUGCCUACAAAUAUA